GACGAACGCUGGCGGCGUGCUUAACACAUGCAAGUCGAACGGAAAGGCCCUGCUUUUGUGGGGUGCUCGAGUGGCAAACGGGUGAGUAACACGUGAGUAACCUGCCCUUGACUUUGGGAUAACUUCAGGAAACUGGGGCUAAUACCGGAUAGGAGCUCCUGCUGCAUGGUGGGGGUUGGAAAGUUUCGGCGGUUGGGGAUGGACUCGCGGCUUAUCAGCUUGUUGGUGGGGUAGUGGCUUACCAAGGCUUUGACGGGUAGCCGGCCUGAGAGGGUGACCGGCCACAUUGGGACUGAGAUACGGCCCAGACUCCUACGGGAGGCAGCAGUGGGGAAUAUUGCACAAUGGGCGGAAGCCUGAUGCAGCAACGCCGCGUGCGGGAUGACGGCCUUCGGGUUGUAAACCGCUGUCGCCUGUGACGAAGCGUGAGUGACGGUAAUGGGUAAAGAAGCACCGGCUAACUACGUG
rnacentral:rRNA from 1 species